GCAGCGGAGCGUGUGGUUUAAUCGAUGUUACACGAAGAACCUUACAGGGUUUGACAUGCAAGUGGUAGGAAGCCGAAAGGUGACCGACCCUUCGGGGAGCUUGCACAGGUGCUGCAUUGGCUGUCGUCAGCUCGUGUCGUGAGAUGUUCGGUUAAGUCCGCUAACGAGCGCAACCCUCGCUGUGUGUUAUAUGUGUCACACAGGACUGCUGGUAUUAAGCCGGAGGAAGGUGGGGACGACGUCAAGUCAGCAUGACCUUUAUAUCCAGGGCUACACACACGCUACAAUGGUCAGUACAAUGGGUUGCCAAGCCGCGAGGCGGAGCCAAUCCUAAAAAGCUGGCCUCAGUUCAGAUUGCAGUCUGAAACUCGACUGCAUGAAGUCGGAGUUGCUAGUAAACGCAGGUCAGCUAUACUGCGUUGAAUACGUUCCCGGGGCUU
rnacentral:rRNA from 1 species